rnacentral:ncRNA from 1 species
GAUAUACACAUAUAAACGGGAUGGAGUAAGUUAUUACUUAAACCCAAACUAGUAUAAAAAUCUUUAUCCCUAUCUUCUUACUACAAUCUUGCAUAUACCUUGGUACCGAUGACCCCCAUACUCUACAAAUAUCGUUGCGUCUGAUUAGCUAGUUGGUGAGGCAAUAACUUACCAAGGCGAUGAUCAGUAGCUGAUCCGAGAGGAUGAUCAGCCACACUGGGACUGAGACACGGACCAGACUCCUACGGGAGGCAGCAGUGGGGAAUUUUCCGCAAUGGGCGAAAGCCUGACGGAGC